rnacentral:rRNA from 1 species
UGGGCAACCUGCCCUCAGCUCUGGGAUAACCCCGGGAAACCGGGGCUAAUAUCGGAUACGACCUCCGCGGGCAUCUGCGGAGGUGGAAAGGUUUUCCGGCUGAGGAUGGGCCCGCGGCCUAUCAGCUAGUUGGUGUGGGUAAUGGCCCACCAAGGCGACGACGGGUAGCCGGCCUGAGAGGGUGACCGGCCACACUGGGACUGAGACACGGCCCAGACUCCUACGGGAGGCA